AUUGAACGCUGGCGGCAGGCCUAACACAUGCAAGUCGAACGAGUGGCGGACGGGUGAGUCAUGCUUGGGAAUCUAGCUUAUGCAGGGGGAUAACUACGGGAAACUGUAGCUAAUACCGCGUACCACAGGAUGAGCCCAAGUGGGAGUAGGUAGUUGGUGAGGUAAAGGCUCACCAAGCCGACCAUCUCUAGCUGGUCUGAGAGGAUGACCAGCCACACUGGGACUGAGACACGGCCCAGACUCCUACGGGAGGCAGCAGUGGGGAAUAUUGCGCAAGGGGGGCGAACUUACGCAGCCAUGCCGUGUGAAGGAAGAAGGCCUUCGGGUUGUAAAGUUCUUCCGGUAGCGAGGCGUUAACUACAGAAGAAGCACCGGCUAACUCCGUGCCAGCAGCCGCGGUAAUAC
rnacentral:rRNA from 1 species